CACGUAGGGUGCGAGCGUUGUCCGGAAUUAUUGGGCGUAAAGAGCUCGUAGGCGGUGUGUCGCGUCGGCCGUGAAAACCUGCAGCUCAACUGUGGGCUUGCGGUCGAUACGGGCAUCACUGGAGUUCGGCAGGGGAGACUGGAAUUCCUGGUGUAGCGGUGAAAUGCGCAGAUAUCAGGAGGAACACCGGUGGCGAAGGCGGGUCUCUGGGCCGAUACUGACGCUGAGGAGCGAAAGCUAGGGGAGCGAAUGGG
rnacentral:rRNA from 1 species